rnacentral:lncRNA from 1 species
UAUGUCCUUACAAGACGUACCGCUUUAUUCUUUAGGUGAAGAACGACCCAUCCACGGAUGCCCUUUUAUCUGAUAUAUGCAUCGGGACUUCAGCUGCCCCAACUUACCUCCCUGCCCAUUAUUUUGAAACCAAGGACCCAUCAGGCAAAGUUAGAGAGUUCAAUCUGAUUGAUGGUGGUGUGGCUGCAAAUAAUCCAGUAUGUUCAUCAUUUAUCUUCAGCUCUUGAACUUGCAUAACUCAUAACAUAUUGAUGAAUCCUAUCAUUAAUUUCCUUUUGAAUUUCCAGACUUUAGUUGCCAUGAGCGAAGUUUCCAAAGAAAUCACUCGGAAGAAUCCUGACUUCUUCCCCACAGCGCCCAUGGAUUAUGGUCGAUUCCUGGUCCUGUCCUUGGGGACUGGUUCAGCAAAAUGUGAAGAAAAGUAUGAUGCAGAUGAAGCAGCCAAGUGGGGUGUCUUGGGAUGGUUGACUAGUGAAAAUUCUACUCCGUUAGUGGAUGUGUUUACAGAAGCUAGUGGUGACAUGAUUGAUCUUCAUAUUUCCACUGUUUUCCAAGCCCUGCACUGUGAGGAAAAUUAUAUUCGAAUUCAGGUGUAUAUCACUCUCAUGUGGUUAUUCAAGAUAUCAAUUACAUUCUCCCACGAAGUAAUUAAAACUAAAAACUAGAAAACGAAGAACCCUGACUAUAAGAUAUGUGUGAAAUGCAGGAUGACACGCUGACCGGAACACUUUCGUCCGUGGAUAUUGCCACGAAAGAGAAUUUGGAGAAUCUUGUGAAAGUGGGUGAGAAAUUGUUGAAAAAACCAGUAUCAAGGGUGGAUUUAGGCACUGGAAUCUUUACACCUGUUGAUAAGAUGACAAAUGAAGAGGCUCUCAUAAAGUAUAUAUCUGCUCAAGUCUAUAUAUUAUAGUGAUUUCUAAGGCAUCUUAUUUCAUCUUGCUGAUUUGUUUUUGUUUGACUGUAUAGGAUGGCUAAAUUACUGUCAAGGGAGAAGCAUCUUCGUGAUUCUAGGUCACCAGUUGGAAAAGUUUCUACUUCGAAGUGAAUAUGAUUCGUAAACUAGAUUGUCCAGAAAAUUAAUUAGACGCAAAUUUAUAAAUUUGCUUAAACACUAAGGAGAUUAUCUGCAUUACGUAAUUCUGUUGUUUUUAUUUUUUUAUUGUUACAAGAAAUGAAUAAUAUGGAAUUCUUUCCGUCGUUAAAAAUGAAUCAUCGCAGAAUGCUGUUGCACUUUUAAAAAUAUUUUUGCUUGCUCAUUUUCUUAUAAUUUUGUUUACCUUUUGUUCUUCUUGCCUUGUGGUCUGACAACUCAACGUGUUUAUCGUUGUUUUGGCUAUACAUACAUCAACACACACACACACACACACACAUGUAGUUUGUUCACGUUCUCUAAUAUUUAGCUGCUGAUCAUAGCCAAACCUACUUAUUCUUUCUGAUCUUGGAUAUGAUCAUAUCCAUUGAUUCUUACAUAGAAUCUUUAUCGAAAUUAGAUGGUUCACUUUGCUGUUUCCUAGUUUUUCCUUGGCAAGACCAUGUAGAAAAAUAAUGUCUAGAUAAAGAAAAGUUUUUUUUUAUUUUUGAUAGUUUCAUUAAACUCAACUUCAACUUAGGAGAUCAAACUUGAAAUCUUGAACUUCAAAUUAAAUUAUAUAUAUGUUGUCCUGAUAUGACCCCGUCGACUUGCCGAGUUAAAAAAACUUAGAUGACUAUUAAAAACAUGAGUUGACUUUAAAAAUAUUAUAAUAUUUUUUUGAAAAAAAUAAUGAGAUGACAACACAAAAUCAAUUCAGGGGUCAACCUAGGUUAGGUCAUGAACUCCAUUGAGUUUAGUAACCUUGUUUUUUUUUAAUUUUUUUUAUUUAAUUAUAGGAUAAAAAUAGAUGUUUGCAAAACCAAGUACCAACUUGAUAUUGAGAUAUUUUUUCGAGACCAUGAUAAUCCCAUUAAAAAUUAAAUCGAAAUAAAUCAUGAAAUUUAAUUUCCAAUAAUUAUAUUUGUUUUGCAAUUAUUUUUUAUUUAAUAAUAUAAUAAAAAAUAGAUGCUAAAAAAACCGAGCACCAAUCUAAUGCCAAUACGUUUUUUUAUGAGAUCGUGAUGACUCCAUAAAAAACAAAUCAAAUAAAAAUAAAUUGUGAAGUUCAAUUCAUAAUAAUUAUAUUUUUCUUUGAAAAUAUUUUUUAUUUAACAAUAUGAUAAAUUAUUUUUUAUUUAAUAAUAUGAUAGAAAAAAGUAGAUAAUUGUAAAAAAACUAAACACCAACUCAAUAUUAUUUUGAGACUACAGUAACCUCUUGUACGGAACAAAAAUAAAUAAUUUAAUUUAAUUUUUAAUAAAUUCAUUGCUAAACUUGAAAAAAAAAAACAAAUAAUAUGUUAACAAUAUGUGAGGAGUCCUCGAUUAAUCAUUGUUAAAGUUGAGAUUUAUUAGAAGUCUUAACCUUUGGUUUAUCCAAUUUUUUUUAUUUAUAUACAUAGAGCAAUAUAUAAUAAUUAAGAUAGAGAUUACAAAAGUAGAGUAAUGCUUAUAAUAUUUCCUACAUAGUAUAUCUUCUAUAAUAGUUAAUAACUAAUUAAUUAAUUAAUUAAUGCGGAGUUUGGUGGGAAUACGGUGAUUCUCGAGCAUUUUUUUUAUUAGUGGGGAAGUAGAAAGGUCAAGCACGUGGACCAGUAAUUACGCAAUUCAUGAGUAGUUUGAUCAGAACGAAACGAAUAUUGUAAUGGUUCGGAUUUUGGUUGUGUUCUCAAAAGGAUAACAAUGGACUUAUGAACUUGUCCCGUUUAAGGCUGCGAAGUAUAGUUAAUUAGGUGAGCAACAAUUGUCCACGUUGAUCUUAUGUAAUAAAGCUAGUGUUUAAAACACUACACAAUUCAACAUUUAGCCCUUUCAAGUUUUUUUAUUUUUUUUAUUUAUAAUUAUCGAGAGUAUAUUAAAAAAACCAUAAAGCAAAUAACAUUUUCAAUUUUUUCUUCAUUAAUAUUCAACAUGUAAUGUAAAAUCCUGAAUUGUAUUUAUAAAAAGGAUUAUAAGAUAAAAAUAAUAUCAAGUUUCUAAUUAACUAACAUAAGUUCUUUUCGAACUAUAAAAUCUUUUCCUAUUUCGAUGGAGGUGGAAUGAGAGGAAUUAUACCAGGAACUAUCCUUGCGUUUUUAGAGUCCGAGCUUCAGGUAGUCUAGAAAUCGGUGUCUUUAAGGACGUAUUGUUGCAUGUAAUAGACCUGCAAGAUCAUCCAUUUUUUUAUGCGUGUGCAAGCUCAUGAUGAUAAUAUAAAAUAGAGUAGAAUAAGAAACUACGUACAGGGAACGUUUCCUUGUUCCACUUGAGGUAUAAAAUAGAAUAGAAUAAGAAUAUAUCACACUUGCGUGCAGGAUAAUAGUUUAUUUAUACAGGUAUAUAAUUGUAAUGUCUUUUUCCAGGUAUAAAAUACUCCGUAAUUUCAUCUCCUAUCACUGACUAGUUUGUUUUGCUAUUCAAAUUGUAGAAGCUGGAUGGUGCAGACGCAAGACUUGCAGACUACUUUGAUGUGAUUUCAGGCACCAGCACUGGUGGCCUCGUGACUGCUAUGCUAGCUGCCCCUAAUGAGCAAAACCGCCCUUUAUUUGCCGCCAAAGACAUUAAUGACUUCUACCUUGAGAACUGCCCUAAAAUCUUUCACCAGGACGGGUAAUAAUCCCGGAUAUGAAUGCCAUAAUAACGAGUUAAAUAUAGUAUAUCAAGUGCUCUAAAACUACAUUUUUUUUCUCCUUCAAAUGUCUAGAUACUAACUGCAUACUCUCUGGCAAUAGGUCUCCAUUGGCUUCUGCCGGAAAACUGAUCAAGAGUUUGAAAGGACCAAAAUACGAUGGCAAAAUUCUGCAUAGCAUUGUCAAGGAAAAAUUGGGAGAUAAACGCCUGCACCAGACCAUGACAAACAUUGUGAUCCCAACUUUUGACAUCAAGCGCCUUCAGCCAACAAUCUUUUCAAGCUAUCAGGUUCGUUAUAUAUACAGACACAACUCUUAAAAUUCUAUGUGUUACUUGAGAAAAGAAUCGUUUCACACUGCAAAAUAUAUGUCCUAACAACACGUACCGCCUAUCCACGGAUGCCCUUUUAUCUGAUAUAUGCAUCGGGACUUCAGCUGCCCCAACUUACCUCCCUGCCCAUUAUUUUGAAACCAAGGACCCGUCAGGCAAAGUCAGAGAGUUCAAUCCGUAAGUUAAAAGAUUUUUUAUUAAAAAAUUUUAUUUUAUUUUAUUAAAUUGAAGUAUUUAAAUCAAUUUUUUUAAUUUUAUACUAAAAAAAUACAAUUUUUUUCUUUGAAGAUAAUAUAUAUAUAAAAAAUGAGACUCGUGUGCAACCAUGCCAGACCUAACCAUGGUUGCGAGAACCAUGUGGUUGUCAUAUUCAAGGUACUUGGGUCUGACGUCUAGAAUUUUCAUAAUUUUCAUGAGUCAAGUAAAAGUAAUGGUUUAGUUGAUGAUCAAAAUACUCAUGUAAAAGUGUUGAAUGAUCUCAAGACAUCUAACUAAUAAUUCCUUGUGGACUUCUGAUAUAUUGUUAAGAAAAAAACCAGACCCACGCGUCUGAGUCUGGCAACCAUACUAGACCCAUGCGUCGUUUUUUGAAAAAUAUAGGAAUUCACUUAUAAUUAUUUUAAAAAUAUAAUUAUUUUGUAUUUUCACCUUUUUUUUAAUAAGAUAUAUUUUUAUAUUUUAUAUUUUUUUCUUCUAUUUUGGGACAUUAGCCACACGCAUCCUUAAAAUUCACUUAUUUUUUUUAUUAAUCUCUAAUUUUAGUGAAGAAAUCAUCUAUAAAAUUGCACAAAUUAAGAUAGUCAAAAGAACAAUAAGUUUUUUUACAUAUACAAUAUUUUUUUCCCUUACAACAUAAUGUAUCAAUUCUAAAGUUCAAAAGUUUUCUCUUAUUAUCAUAUAAUUCAAAUUUUUGUAUAUACUAAUAGUUAUAAUGUAGAAUAAACUCUCAUUGUAACAAACUUUAAUAAUUAGAUCAUAUAACAAUAUCUCAAAUUUAAAAAAACAUGAACCCUUUAAAAAAUUGUCCAACAUUUAGAUGAAAACAUAAAAUUAAUAUUUUUAUCUACAAUGCAUAAAAAAGAUUUAUUUUUGAAGACUUGAAAUAAAUCACUUGGAACUUAAUAUUUUUUUUCAUUUUUUUAUAAAAUAAGUUACACAGAUAAAAAAGAAUUUGUAGUUAAUUUCUACUGUAUAUCAAUAAAAAAUUCUGCUUGAAUGAGACAAUGUUUGUUUUUAAAAUCCAAUCAUACUUUUAAAAAAUUUUAAAUUUUUUGACUCAAACGUGAGUCUGACAAACCCAGAUGUAUGGGUGUGACAUGGUUGUCAAGCCCACACAUAUUAAUCUGACAAUUAUAGUAGACUCAAGCGCCUUAGUUCUCGCAGUUAUGCCAGAUCUAAAAUACGUGAGAAUGACAAACAUGUAUGAUAUGAUAAAUAACUAAUAAAAAAGACAAAUAUAUAUUUUGGUUGUUGAAAAAAAAAAAUAAUUAAUCACCAACAGCAAUUCAAUUAUUAUUUAUUUACAUACAUUAUAUCAUAUAAAAAAACACGACUACACAUCCAAUUAGGCAGUUUAGCAUCCAGUUUUUCUCAUUAUCCUUUCGCUGUCCUCUCACGGAGGCUGGGCCUAACGAAAGAUAUAGCAUUGGCUAAGUUUUGGGGUUAAUGAUGCAUUCCUCAACUAUAAGAGAUUGAUUAAUCAGUUUUCUUUAUCAAUUCACGGAAUCGAUUUGUUUAAUACGUUAAUGACCUUUCAUUAAUAACAUCGAUCUGACAACAAAUAAGUUAAUUGUAUAAUUAAACGAACCAAAUCAGUUUAAUUGUCGUCUUUGUUUGAUUUAUAAAUUUGAAAUCUUCAAUUGUUCUCUAUUACUUAACGUGUCAGCUCAGAAUUGUAUAACAGAAUAAUUGGAUCUAUUCAAAAUUUGACCCCGUCCAAGAAAAUUAUACAAGGUUAAAUUUGGGCGAGUAAAAUCUUUCGACUUAAUUGAAAAUUCCAUGCUUCAUGAAGCACAGAAGUCUAUAAAUAACUCCACACUCCCUUUGGGAAAUUACUAGUUUCAAAACUUAAAUUAGAUUUCAGCACUAGCUAUAUACAUCUCCCGAGACUCUCAGGAAGUUUAAGCUAAACAUCUCUAACUCUUCCGCUUCUAGGCUCUCGAUCAAUAUUAGCUAGCAAUGCCUUUAAAUUACUCCUCAAUCUCUCAUAUCGACACUUUAAGAUCACCCCUUCAACCCCCAACUUUUGGAAACCAAAUCACUAUUCUUAGCAUCGAUGGAGGUGGAAUAAGAGGAAUAAUACCAGGAACUAUCCUUGCCUUUUUAGAGUCCGAGCUUCAGGUAGUCUAGAAAUCGGUCACUUUAAGGACGUAUGUUGCAUGUCAAAUAGACCUGCAAGAUCAUGCAUUUUCUUAUGCCUGUGCUAGCUCAUGAUGAUCUAUAAAAUAGAGUAGAAUAAGAAACUACAGGGAACGAUUCCUUGGUCCACUUGAGGUAUAAAAUAGAAUAGAAUAACAAUAUAUCACACUCGCAUGCAGGAUAAUAGUUUAUUUAUAGCGGUAUAUAAUUUUAAUGUCUUUUUCCAGGUAUAAAAUACUCCGUAAUUUCAUCUCCUAUCACUGACUAGUAUGUUAUGCUAUUCAAAUUGUAGAAGCUGGAUGGUGCAGACGCAAGACUUGCAGACUACUUUGAUGUGAUUUCAGGCACCAGCACUGGUGGCCUCGUGACUGCUAUGCUAGCUGCCCCUAAUGAGCAAAACCGCCCUUUAUUUGCCGCCAAAGACAUUAAUGACUUCUACCUUGAGAACUGCCCUAAAAUCUUUCACCAGGACGGGUAAUAAUCCCGGAUAUGAAUGCCAUAAUAACGAGUUAAAUAUAGUAUAUCAAGUGCUCUAAAACUACAUUUUUUUUCUCCUUCAAAUGUCUAGAUACUAACUGCAUACUCUCUGGCAAUAGGUCUCCAUUGGCUUCUGCCGGAAAACUGAUCAAGAGUUUGAAAGGACCAAAAUACGAUGGCAAAUUUCUGCAUAGCAUUGUCAAGGAAAAAUUGGGAGAUAAACGCCUGCACCAGACCAUGACAAACAUUGUGAUCCCAACUUUUGACAUCAAGCGCCUUCAGCCAACAAUCUUUUCAAGCUAUCAGGUUCGUUAUAUAUACAGACACAACUCUUAAAAUUCUAUGUGUUACUUGAGAAAAGAAUCGUUUCACACUGCAAAAUAUAUGUCCUUACAAGACGUACCGCUUUAUUCUUUAGGUGAAGAACGACCCAUCCACGGAUGCCCUUUUAUCUGAUAUAUGCAUCGGGACUUCAGCUGCCCCAACUUACCUCCCUGCCCAUUAUUUUGAAACCAAGGACCCAUCAGGCAAAGUUAGAGAGUUCAAUCUGAUUGAUGGUGGUGUGGCUGCAAAUAAUCCAGUAUGUUCAUCAUUUAUCUUCAGCUCUUGAA